UACGUAGGGUGCAAGCGUUGUCCGGAAUUAUUGGGCGUAAAGAGCUCGUAGGCGGUCUGUCGCGUCUGCUGUGAAAACUCAGGGCUUAACCCUGAGCUUGCAGUGGGUACGGGCAGACUAGAGUGCGGUAGGGGAGACUGGAAUUCCUGGUGUAGCGGUGAAAUGACGCAGAUAUCAGGAGGAACACCGGUGGCGAAGGCGGGUCUCUGGGCGAUCUCCUGACGCUGGAGGCGACGAAAGCGUGGGGAGCAAACGGG
rnacentral:rRNA from 1 species